GUAUUAAUUGCAUAUUAUUGCAAGAGACAUUCUACACUGUAUCGAGUUUGUGUGAAAACGCAAGCCCUCCUGCAAAGGGGGGCCCACGCGGUGAUGCACAAAAGGGGUGAGAUGGAUUGUGUGAGAGUGCUCGGGCGUGCACAACCUUUAAAAGGUCAGCGACAGCCCUUGCACCUCGGUUAUACAAUAAUGAUCCUUCCGCAGGUUCACCUACGGAAA
rnacentral:misc_RNA from 1 species